rnacentral:rRNA from 1 species
GAUGAACGCUGGCGGCGUGCUUAACACAUGCAAGUCGAACGAAGCACUUUAUUUGAUUUCCUUCGGGACUGAUUAUUUUGUGACUGAGUGGCGGACGGGUGAGUAACGCGUGGGUAACCUGCCUUGUACAGGGGGAUAACAGUUGGAAACGGCUGCUAAUACCGCAUAAGCGCCCAGCAUCGCAUGAUGCAGUGUGAAAAACUCCGGUGGUAUAAGAUGGACCCGCGUUGGAUUAGCUAGUUGGUGAGGUAACGGCCCACCAAGGCGACGAUCCAUAGCCGACCCGAGAGGGUGACCGGCCACAUUGGGACUGAGACACGGCCCAAACUCCUACGGGAGGCAGCAGUGGGGAAUAUUGCACAAUGGGCGAAAGCCUGAUGCAGCGACGCCGCGUGAGCGAAGAAGUAUUUCGGUAUGUAAAGCUCUAUCAGCAGGGAAGAUAAUGACGGUACCUGACUAAGAAGCACCGGCUAAAUACGUG